GCACCUACCGAUUGAAUGGUUCGGUGAAAAUCUCGGACUGCGGCUUGGAUGCCGUCGGGCAACCAAGCUGUGGAAAGUUGUUUAAACCUCAUCAUUUAGAGGAAGGUGAAGUCGUAACAAGGUUUCCGUAGGUGAACCUGCAGAAGGAUCAAGAUCGGAAGGACGACGUGUAGGGAGAGAGUGUAUGUCGCGGUGGUCGCCCUCUCAUUAAUAAAAAAAAAAAACUCAAGCAAUGCUGGCACUCAACCACGACGCUGCGUCAAUAGCGACACUCGCC
rnacentral:misc_RNA from 1 species